rnacentral:lncRNA from 1 species
GAAGAUUCUCCCUUUGGGUGUAUUUGGAGACCUCUGAUGCUUAAGACAGGUGUGCGAGAUGGACAGGACUGCUACCUUCAGUUUCUUAAUUACUGGGAGAUUCCAGGAGCCUACUUUCUCAGAAUGAUAUUACUGAGUCACUUUUAUUCAUGGGUGGAAGAUGUGAGCUCUGUGCUCCCAUGAUGAAGACAUGACAAGCAUCAGCACUGAUUAUCUGAAUCUGCCCUCAUCCUGUGGGGACAAAGUUGCAUAGCCAAGAGAAAGUUGGAGAAGUGGAAAUGUGGUGGGA